UGGUGGGGGCUGGCAGCAGGAAGAUGAACUAGGCACAGGGAUGAGCUGUAAUAUCACACAGAUACACUCCAGCUUUGUGAAUGAAGAAGCCUGAAUGUGACACCUCUUGAUACCUUCUCACGUAACCUGUUUCAUCAGCUCUGGGCACAAGGAUGAUCAAGCAGGCAUCAAUGCAAGGGUCUGCAUCACCUACCUGUUCAGAAAUAUGGAGUGUCACCAUACAGAGCUGUAUUUUGAGAUCUUUGAGAGCUACACGAGGGAAGUGUCAGGUUCUCUCACAAAUGUUAGACAGCAACCAUAUCUCUCCAGGCUGGUCAAAGAGCAAUUGGGAAGAUAACAGCAUAACAGAGAAUUUGUCCUAAACAAAGAUUUCUAGACCGUGCUUGGUUCCUGCAGGUUACCG
rnacentral:lncRNA from 1 species